CCCUGCCUCAGUGCAGCCGGGGCGGUGGCGGCUAAAGAGCUGGAGGCUUCACCAUGAUCGCGGGGAUUAGGGAGCGGUUCCACCGAUUCCUGCACGAGAAGAACCGCAUGACCGCCGUGCUCGAGCAUAUCGAGAGCAAGACCGGUGUCAACCGCGCCUAUAUUGCCAUCGCCAUCGUCGGGGCGGUGGCCGUGUACCUGGUGGUGGGCUACGGCGCCUCCCUGCUCUGCAACAUCAUCGGUUUCGUCUAUCCCGCCUACGUGUCAAUCAAGGCUAUUGAAAGUCCCAACAAAGAUGAUGACACACAGUGGCUGACUUACUGGGUUGUAUAUGGUGUUUUCAGCAUAGUGGAAUUCUUUUCUGAUAUCUUUCUGUUCUGGUUCCCUUUCUACUACAUGAUAAAGUGUGGCUUCCUGUUGUGGUGCAUGGCUCCAAGUGCUUCCAACGGGGCAGAGUUUCUCUAUCAUCGAAUUAUCCGGCCUUUCUUCCUGAAGCAUGAAGCUCAGCUUGACAGUGUUGUUAAAGACCUGAAAGACAAGGCUGCAGAGACUGCAGAUACCAUCGCUAAGGAAGGUAUUUGGAAGACCUUUGGAAGUAUAGAAGAGCUGCCAAUUGUGUAGUAAAGCAAAUCCUUUAACUCCAAUAAACAGCAACAUGGGAAAUGAAGUUUUCCCAUCUCCAAGAAAGCAACAGUGAACUUACUGGGUGAAGAAAAGAAGAGCACCUAAGCUAUGAACUGGAUAAAGCUUCCCUACCACCUCCUUUAUGAAGCUUGAUGUUACUGGAAACUGUGGUAUACAUCUUAAUAAUAUUGCCUUGGAAACUUUUGAUAUAUUAAAGGAGUAUGUCCUAAGUUUGCUUACCACUUUUCUGUGUCUGACAGAAAGUGUUUUUAUUUAAAAGCAAUGCAGCAGGCAGCAUCUGAAGCUUAAUGAACAUACUUAUCUUCAUGCAGAAGAAAUCUUUCAGUAAUCUCUCUGCUUUAACAUAAAUAAAAAGUAUAUAUCCCACAGGCUCUGCACUUUAGUUGUCUCUGUGUGUGUAAUUACUCAUCAUGCUUCAACUGUCGUGCAUCUGGUAACAUGAAGCUAGUGUAUAAGAAAAAUACUGGUCUGAAUGGGUCUUCUUGAACAUACAGGGAAUUACUAUGAGAGAUGGCAUAAUGGAUGUAUUCCAUUCCACCAAAGUUGUAAAUGAUGAAAUUACAUGUUCUAGGCACCUGAUGAUAGAAAUUACUCACUAUUGCAUGUUUUGUUGUAACACAGUAUUUGGUAAAGUGUGUGUAUUCCUAAAUGGAUAGAUACUAAAUACAGGGAAGAAUAACUUCAUUCAAGUGAUCAAGGUUAUAUUAGUGUGAAAUAAUUUGCCAGAAAAAGAUGUAUUAGAUUGCACAGGAUUAGCACAAGAUGACUAAAGUACACCUCCUUGCCUCUUCUUGAUAAAUAAAGUUGUCAUCUAAUAGAGUGCCUUUCAGAAUCACUUUCAAAAUCAAAACUACGUUUUACUAAGGAGCAGUACUAUUCCAAACACUUUUUCCUAAAGUUUUGUUGAAAUACUAACUGCCUUGAGUGCCAGUCUGCAGAACCACAUCAUUAAUGGGAUGGACUGUGGCCUCCAGGAGCCUCUUCUGCUCAUAAAAAUCUGCAGUCUCUUCUGACUGUACUAAGAGUAACUUUUCAUGACCACUGAAACUUCCUGAAGAAGAUGCUUUGUUGCUGCUUGAUACAUAUACCUGACCAAUCAGUAAGAAUGCCACCAAGGUUAUUAAGAGAAUAAAGGGCUUUUUGCAAUCAAUAGAAAAUAUUUUUUUUUUGAUACAAACGUGUAUUCAAUCUUCCACACUGCAGACUUUUCAACAGAUUCAGCAUGAAUUACUGAAAUCUCACAGUUCUCAUCUCCAUGCUGAGAUUUCUUUAAAGCCUACAGGAACACUAUGACACUUCUUAACUCACAGAACACAGAGAAGGCAAGUUUAAGGUUUUGAUAUGCAAAAAAGUGAUUUCUGGUCCAGAGUCUUAUAUUCAAAAGAUUUAAAGUAUACUUUUGAAGACUUGGCUUUCUGCAAUAAAUUGGUAUAUAAACAUUCACUGUAAAUUUUCAGACAUGAGAACUGCAAAAGAAUGCACCAGUUAGUGGAACUCUGCAGGCAGUUUCAAAUUUGAUAGUUGUAUUGAAGAUUUGUAGAAGUGUCUUACGAAGAAACAUUUCAAGCUUUACGCUGGAAAACACAGCGCUUAGGGCUGCAACCUUGGAUAGUGAACUGAGACCCACUGUGCAUCAUUUUUUGUAGGACAGCAUAAGCUUUGUUGUUCGAAGGAAAAAAAAAUCACAGCUAAUAAUUCUGUGACUUUUUAUUAUGACUGGAUGUGGUGAAGGGAAUAAAAGUUUACAGCAAAGUUGUACAUCUGUGAAAAUCCACCAUAGAAGUGGAUUAAUCUCGUCUUGCUUUUCUCUGUCUUAAAUCCACUGCACUGUUCUGUAAGCCAUACUUAAGUCCUAAUGCUGUAUUUUAAACCCUAUAAGGUGUGUAUUUAGAGGUCAUGUGGCCAGUGUAAUUUAGCUUCAACUCUUGAAAACAUAAGUAAUAAAUAAAAAUGCUUAAUAGUCUUACCUGAUUUAAGUAUGGAAUACUAUGUAACAUGCUUCUUUAAAAGCUGCUGAUAAAUGUUGGACAAGCCUAAAGGGGUCUGUAGCAAAAGCAGAACUCACUUGUAAUUUCUAAUACUACUAAACAUUUCACGUAUUAAUGGGGAUAAAUAUUUCUAGGUAAGUGUUAAAAUAUUUUCUUACAUCUCUUCUUAGAACUUAAAAGUUAGGCUUAAAAUCACAUUCUUGUCUCUACAACUUUGUAUUUCUUGACCUAAGCAGCUAACUCCAGUAUUUCUUUGUCAGAUUUCUACUUCUAGUAGAACACUGUUAACAAAACGUGAUCUUGUUUGCCUUGAUGCAAGUAGAAAUUACCGAGUUUCUGAAGCAGAAAAGUUACUCUUUCCUGCAAGAAACUCCACUGGGCUGGCCCCAUUGAUCUGUGUUCUUCUCACUGUCAUCAUACCAAUAUUUAUGUGCAGAUGUUGGUAUGCACAUACGCUCCCAUGUGUCUGCUGAAGUUGUAAUAUGCUAAAUAAAAAUGGAUACAAAUAAAAAAGAGAUUCUUA